ensembl:lncRNA
AUGAUCAGGUUGAUAAAAAAAAGUAGGCCGUUUAAAUUAAUUUUAAACAUUUCAAUCAGUCAAGUGGUCAGUCGUGUUGAUGACAUCUGGUGGUGUGAUGACUUUACUUUUUGUAUUAUUCAAAGAACCACAUUUAUUACAAUGAUGUUGGGAAAAAAAAAAACCCCUAUGAAAUAUUCUAGUAAACCAAGGCAUGAAUAUGUGUUGGCUCAACGUGAGACAAGUACAGAAAACACACAACACAUCCAUCCAUUCACUGGGUUUAUGAUGAUGACUUGUCUUCUUUCCUUGAAGACACAACCAAUAAGAACAACAGAUCACGUGAGCGAUGAUUUUCCCAAGUAAUAACUUUCUUCAACAAAACAAAACGUCAUAUCUGUAGUCCGUAUAAAUGAAAGUAUUAAUAUACAGUUCAUUACAUUUAAAAUGAUUUAAAUAUACAUUGAAGUGUUAACAAAACCUGAGUAAUAAAUAAAUAAUAAUAAUAAAACUUACCGUGUAA